rnacentral:tRNA from 1 species
GGGGUUGUGGCUCAGAGGUAGAGUGCUUGCCUGGUAUGCAUGAGGCACUGGGUUCGAUCCUCCGCACUUCA